GUGGGGAAUCUUCCACAAUGGACGAAAGUCUGAUGGAGCAACGCCGCGUGAGUGAAGAAGGGUUUCGGCUCGUAAAGCUCUGUUGUCGGGGACGAAUGUGCAGUAUUUGAAUAAAGUACUGUAAUGACGGUACCUGACGAGGAAGCCACGGCUAACUACGUGCCAGCAGCCGCGGUAAUACGUAGGUGGCAAGCGUUGUCCGGAAUUAUUGGGCGUAAAGGGAGCGCAGGCGGGAAGGUAAGUCGGUCUUAAAAGUGCGGGACUCAACCCCGUGAUGGGAUCGAAACUAUCUUUCUUGAGUGCAGGAGAGGAAAGUGGAAUUCCUAGUGUAGCGGUGAAAUGCGUAGAUAUUAGGAGGAACACCAGUGGCGAAGGCGACUUUCUGGACUGUAACUGACGCUGAGGCUCGAAAGCCAGGGGAGCGAACGGGAUUAGAAACCCCGGUAGUCC
rnacentral:rRNA from 1 species